rnacentral:rRNA from 1 species
CAGUCGAGCGGAUCUUCAUUAGCUUGCUUUUGAAGAUCAGCGGCGGACGGGUGAGUAACACGUGGGCAACCUGCCUGUAAGACUGGGAUAACUUCGGGAAACCGGAGCUAAUACCGGAUAAUCCUUUCCCUCACAUGAGGGAAAGCUGAAAGACGGUUUCGGCUGUCACUUACAGAUGGGCCCGCGGCGCAUUAGCUAGUUGGUGAGGUAAUGGCUCACCAAGGCAACGAUGCGUAGCCGACCUGAGAGGGUGAUCGGCCACACUGGGACUGAGACACGGCCCAGACUCCUACGGGAGGCAGCAGUAGGGAAUCUUCCGCAAUGGACGAAAGUCUGACGGAGCAACGCCGCGUGAACGAUGAAGGCUUUCGGGUCGUAAAGUUCUGUUGUCAGGGAAGAACAAGUACCGGAGUAACUGCCGGUACCUUGACGGUACCUGACCAGAAAGCCACGGCUAACUACGUGCCAGCAGCCGCGGUAAUACGUAGGUGGCAAGCGUUGUCCGGAAUUAUUGGGCGUAAAGCGCGCGCAGGCGGUUCCUUAAGUCUGAUGUGAAAGCCCCCGGCUCAACCGGGGAGGGUCAUUGGAAACUGGGGAACUUGAGUGCAGAAGAGGAGAGCGGAAUUCCACGUGUAGCGGUGAAAUGCGUAGAGAUGUGGAGGAACACCAGUGGCGAAGGCGGCUCUCUGGUCUGUAACUGACGCUGAGGCGCGAAAGCGUGGGGAGCGAACAGGAGUAGAUACCCUGGUA